GCCCGGCUAGCUCAGUCGGUAGAGCAUGAGACUCUUAAUGUCAGGGUCGUGGGUUCGAGCCCCAAGUUGGGUG
rnacentral:tRNA from 1 species